rnacentral:rRNA from 1 species
GAGUUUGAUCCUGGCUCAGGAUGAACGCUGGCGGCGUGCUUAACACAUGCAAGUCGAACGAACCUUCGGGUUAGUGGCGGACGGGUGAGUAACGCGUGGGAAUCUGCCCUCAGGAGGGGGAUAACGGUUGGAAACGACCGCUAAUACCCCAUAUGCCGAGAGGUGAAAUGAAUUUCGCCUGAGGAUGAGCCCGCGUCUGAUUAGCUUGUUGGUGAGGUAAUGGCUCACCAAGGCAUCGAUCAGUAGCUGGUCUGAGAGGAUGAUCAGCCACACUGGGACUGAGACACGGCCCAGACCCCUACGGGAGGCAGCAGUGGGGAAUUUUCCGCAAUGGGCGAAAGCCUGACGGAGCAACGCCGCGUGAGGGACGAAGGCCUCUGGGCUGUAAACCUCUUUUCUCAAGGAAGAAGAUAUGACGGUACUUGAGGAAUAAGCCACGGCUAAUUCCGUGCCAGCAGCCGCGGUAAUACGGGAGUGGCAAGCGUUAUCCGGAAUUAUUGGGCGUAAAGCGUCCGCAGGCGGCCUUUCAAGUCUGCUGUUAAAACGUGGAGCUUAACUCCAUCAUGGCAGUGGAAACUGAUUGGCUUGAGUAUGGUAGGGGCAGAGGGAAUUCCCGGUGUAGCGGUGAAAUGCGUAGAUAUCGGGAAGAACACCAGUGGCGAAGGCGCUCUGCUGGGCCAUUUCUGACGCUCAUGGACGAAAGCCAGGGGAGCGAGAGGGAUUAGAUACCCCUGUAGUCCUGGCCGUAAACGAUGAACACUAGGUGUCGGGGGAAUCGACCCCUUCGGUGUCGUAGCUAACGCGUUAAGUGUUCCGCCUGGGGAGUACGCACGCAAGUGUGAAACUCAAAGGAACUGACGGGGGCCCGCACAAGCGGUGGAGUAUGUGGUUUAAUUCGAUGCAACGCGAAGAACCUUACCAGGGCUUGACAUCCUGCGAACCUUUAAGAAAUUAGAGGGUGCCUUCGGGAGCGCAGUGACAGGUGGUGCAUGGCUGUCGUCAGCUCGUGUCGUGAGAUGUUGGGUUAAGUCCCGCAACGAGCGCAACCCACGUUUUUAGUUGCCAGCAUUUAGUUGGGCACUCUAGAAAGACCGCCGGUGAUAAACCGGAGGAAGGUGUGGAUGACGUCAAGUCAUCAUGCCCCUUACGUCCUGGGCUACACACGUACUACAAUGCUACGGACAAAGGGCAGCAAACUCGCGAGAGCUAGCAAAUCCCAUAAACCGUGGCUCAGUUCAGAUCGUAGGCUGCAACUCGCCUACGUGAAGUAGGAAUCGCUAGUAAUCGCAGGUCAGCAUACUGCGGUGAAUACGUUCCCGGGCCUUGUACACACCGCCCGUCACACCAUGGAAGUUGGCCACGCCCGAAGUCGUUACUUUAACCCUUGUGGAGAAGGACGCCGAAGGUGGGGCUGAUGACUGGGGUGAAGUCGUAACAAGGUAACC